AUACGUAGGGGGCGAGCGUUGUCCGGAAUUACUGGGCGUAAAGGGAGCGUAGGCGGCCCUAUAAGUCAGGAGUUAAAGCCCUCGGCUCAACCGAGGUAAGCUCUUGAAACUGUAGGGCUUGAGUGCAGGAGAGGAGAGUGGAAUUCCUAGUGUAGCGGUGAAAUGCGUAGAUAUUAGGAGGAACACCAGUGGCGAAGGCGACUCUCUGGACUGUAACUGACGCUGAGGCUCGAAAGCGUGGGGAGCAAACAGGAUUAGAUACCCUGGUAGUCCACGCCGUAAACGAUGAGUGCUAGGUGUUGGGAUCGCCAGAUUUCAGUGCCGCAGUUAACACAUUAAGCACUCCGCCUGGGGAGUACGAUCGCAAGAUUGAA
rnacentral:rRNA from 1 species